rnacentral:rRNA from 1 species
GAUGAACGCUGGCGGCGUGCCUAAUACAUGCAAGUCGAGCGAACAGAUGAGGAGCUUGCUCCUCUGACGUUAGCGGCGGACGGGUGAGUAACACGUGGAUAACCUACCUAUAAGACUGGGAUAACUUCGGGAAACCGGAGCUAAUACCGGAUAAUAUAUUGAACCGCAUGGUUCAAUAGUGAAAGACGGUUUUGCUGUCACUUAUAGAUGGAUCCGCGCCGCAUUAGCUAGUUGGCAAGGUAACGGCUUACCAAGGCAACGAUGCGUAGCCGACCUGAGAGGGUGAUCGGCCACACUGGAACUGAGACACGGUCCAGACUCCUACGGGAGGCAGCAGUAGGGAAUCUUCCGCAAAGGGCGAAAGCCUGACGGAGCAACGCCGCGUGAGUGAUGAAGGUCUUCGGAUCGUAAAACUCUGUUAUUAGGGAAGAACAAAUGUGUAAGUAACUAUGCACGUCUUGACGGUACCUAAUCAGAAAGCCACGGCUAACUACGUG